CGAACCCAAAACCUAGGUAUGUGCCCUGACCAGAAAUAGAACCCACAACCUUUUGGAGUACAGGAUGAUGUUCCAACCAUCUGAGCCAUCCAGCCAAAGCUUCAAAAAAUCUUAAUAAUUCAUACAGAUUAAAGUGUCUUGCCCAACACUUCAAAAGAGAAAAGACCUGAGUAAAUGUAAAAAACUAAAUCAAAGGUGAUUUUAAUGAUUUUAGAAACAUUUAUAAAAAUCUUUUUUAGCCUUUCUACAAUAUAUUCUCUGCCAUUCCCUUAAUUCAUCUGCCCUUCACAACUGACUAGUAACUUCCUGUCCAGUUUCCUUUUCUCCACCUUCAGCUCUUCCAUAAAACUACCAGUUAUCUUUCUAAAACAUAAAACUUUUAUUGACUGCCUUUUACCUACCAAAAUAUAUCAAAGCUCCUCAGCAUAAAAAGCUUACCUUUUCAUUAUUAACCAACCUGCAUUUCUAGCUUCAUCUCUUCACCAUUACCUCUCCAUCCUUCCUCCCUAUUCCCUCUACACAUAUACUCUUUUCAAAAUUUCACAUCCCUUCAGAAUUCUGUGCCAUUCUACACAUUGGUAUCUCUUUGUAAAUUGCUGUAUUUUUCUGUGCCUCCUAGUCGUCUGCUUUUGAGGUACUUUUGCUUACUGAAUUUUCCUUGAUUAGCUUGCUAUUAACACACUUAGUAAAUGUGUUUUUAGUAAACAUCUUAAUGAUUCAACCUUUACUCAUUUAUUUACUUACUGCAUGCAGAUUAGACCCAUAGAUAGAGCUUUUGUUAAAACCUGAAACUCCUUUUUCAGUUCCAAGAAUAAUAAUACAGUCUUGGUUAUUCUGAGUCAAGGAAAUAACACUUUCAAGUUCCACUAGGGGGAGAACUUCACUUAGUCAAACAUUUUUAUACUUCAAAUCUCUUCAGACCAACUCUUUCAAUUACUGUUACUCUCUUAUGAAUAAAAUGUUUCAAACUCUUCACUUAAUAAACUACAUUAUUAUAUAAGCUGUUAUUUAGUAUAAUCAAAGACUGCUUUUUAAUGUAGUUAUGAAAAUUAUACUUUUGUAAAUGUCAUAUUUAGGUGAGAAAAUACAUUAGCUAAAGAAAUACUUAUUUUUAUAAAUACUAGCAUUAUAUAGUAGAUAUACUUAUGAGGCUGAAGUUUAUUAAAUUUAUUUUAAAAGAUUCUUUAGUCAACUUGACACUUUUAUUAUUUAAAGUUCACAAUCUCCCACAUGUAAUUGUUCUGAGAUAACUACAUCUGUAAUAUACUUAAUAUCCUCUACCAUAAUUCUCCCCCUCCUCUUUUGAGGAGCAACUUUAUAUUAGGAUUUUACAAUGAAUUUGACCUUUUCUAAGUGUAGCGGCUUUAACAUUUUGGCAUUUCCAUAGAACUGUUUGUAAAAGUUAUCACCUACGUUUCUUCCUUCUCAGCAUGAAUGGCACUUAUCGAUGGAUUUUAGAGAUGGGAAGAG